GCCAAAGAAGAAACAAAAACACGUCAGGCAACCACCUCCGCCUCGGAAUACCACUUGUGAAGACUUUGCAAUGAAGACGGGGGGGAAAAAAAGGGGUUUCAUAAAGGCUUUGAAAACAUAAAUCCUAUAACGCGGAUCCCACGUAAGGGCCUUGGGAGAAGGGGUGCCCGCGCCCGAAGCCCGAGCUCAAGCCACCGCCAGACUCGUGGGCGCGGCGGGGUAGAACUCGCGGCGAGUCCGGGUUCCCCUUACAACCUCCGAGGAGCGGCGCUGCCAUGCAGGGGAGAUGGUGGGCGCGGCGUUCCACCCACUUGGCGGUGUACUCGGGUAGACUGCUGGUUAACCUGACCCUGGGUUCCGGGCCUCUAGAGGCGCCCUUGGACGGAGAUCCCCCAUUCCCUGCGGCCUCACCCCUCCCCCUCCCUAACCCGGGAGCCCUCCUAGCCGGUACAGGCUUCCCAAGCCCCUUCCCAAGCCCCUUCCCAAGCGCGUGCCCGGGAGGAGGCCAGCAAACCCUGAAAGGACUUCUGAAACUAUGGUGAAAAUGGACAUCCUUUCUUGUUCCUGAUCUUAGUGGAAAUGCUUUCAACCUUUCACCAUUGAGAAUGAUAUUAGCUGUGGGUUUACCAUAUAUGGCUGACAUUAUGUUGAGAGCUGUGACUGCUGCAUACAGAAGUUCCAGGCAGGCCAGAAUCAAACCUGAUCCAUAGCAGUGACAAUGCUGCAUGCUUAACCACAAGACUACCAGAAACACUGGAAGAUCAUUCCAAGUUAUGAUAUACUCAAAAGCCAUAAACAAGAAGUAAAAACUUCAAAUAUAAUCUUUGAAAAAAAUUCAGAUCAAUAAAAAAGCUGUAAACAAGACCAUGGAACAAAUGACAUAUCACUAAAAUUGAUCAAUAGAAAAAGAAACACAAAAGAUUGAAAACAAAUGUACAAGCCUUUCUUCUUUGCUAAUAAUUUAAAUAUUGCAAUUUAAUCUAUAAGGGCAUAUUUUUCACCAAAAUAUAGGCAAAGAUUGUAACAUGCUGAUUUGAUAAAGGAUGUAGGAUUGGGGCAAUGACCAUGAUUGUACACGUCCGUAAUGUACACGUCCUCUAUGAAAGCAAAUUUGGCAGUGCUUAUGAAAAUGUAAUAAAAACUGACCUUUUGACUGUU